UACGAAGGGGGCUAGCGUUGUUCGGAAUUACUGGGCGUAAAGCGCGCGCAGGCGGCUAUCCAAGUCAGUGGUGAAAGCCCGGAGCUCAACUCCGGAACUGCCAUUGAAACUGUUUAGCUUGAGGAUGAGAGAGGUGAGUGGAAAUUCCCAGUGUAGAGGUGAAAUUCGUAGAUAUUGGGAAGAACACCGGUGGCGAAGGCGGCUCACUGGCUCAUUACUGACGCUCAGGCGCGAUAGCGUGGGGAUCAAACAGG
rnacentral:rRNA from 1 species